rnacentral:snoRNA from 1 species
UGACAGGAUGAUGACGAAAGGCUGCAUGCCCGGCGUGAUGACGUAUGGUUUCCUCCUGCAGGGACUGUGCAGGGUGAGGCAGGCUGAUGAGGCACGGGCAAUGCUCGGGAGGGUGCCGGAGCUGAAUGUCG